rnacentral:lncRNA from 10 species
CCAUUCCUUGGAAUCUGUGAGGCCAAGAACCCCAGGUCAGAGAACACAAGCCUUGCCACCAUCUUGGAAGCAGCCCACCACCAUCUUGGAAGCGGCCCACCACCAUCUUGGGAGCUCUGGGAGCAAGGACCCCCCAGUAACAGUAAUGCUUAUUAAGUGUGGCUAUCUUGAGAUUUUAGGACUGACAUGUCAUUACAGCGGUCUUACUUCAGAUUGGCACACUCCACUAACACUUGAAGUAAGCAAUAUGAAAUGUUUAAGUAAUUUUGUAUUGAUGUGAAGAUCUUUGAGGACAAAGGAGAUGCCCUGAAUGACAACACAUCCAUAGCCCACUCCCC